UGGGGGGSUGCUUACACAUGCAAGUCGAGCGGUAAGGCCUUUCGGGGUACACGAGCGGCGAACGGGUGAGUAACACGUGGGUGAUCUGCCCUGCACUUCGGGAUAAGCCUGGGAAACUGGGUCUAAUACCGGAUAUGACCUCAGGUUGCAUGACUUGGGGUGGAAAGAUUUAUCGGUGCAGGAUGGGCCCGCGGCCUAUCAGCUUGUUGGUGGGGUAAUGGCCUACCAAGGCGACGACGGGUAGCCGACCUGAGAGGGUGACCGGCCACACUGGGACUGAGACACGGCCCAGACUCCUACGGGAGGCAGCAGUGGGGAAUAUUGCACAAUGGGCGAAAGCCUGAUGCAGCGACGCCGCGUGAGGGAUGACGGCCUUCGGGUUGUAAACCUCUUUCAGCAGGGACGAAGCGCAAGUGACGGUACCUGCAGAAGAAGCACCGGCUAACUACGUGCCAGCAGCCGCGGUAAUACGUAGGGUGCAAGCGUUGUCCGGAAUUACUGGGCGUAAAGAGUUCGUAGGCGGUUUGUCGCGUCGUUUGUGAAAACCAGCAGCUCAACUGCUGGCUUGCAGGCGAUACGGGCAGACUUGAGUACUGCAGGGGAGACUGGAAUUCCUGGUGUAGCGGUGAAAUGCGCAGAUAUCAGGAGGAACACCGGUGGCGAAGGCGGGUCUCUGGGCAGUAACUGACGCUGAGGAACGAAAGCGUGGGUAGCGAACAGGAUUAGAUACCCUGGUAGUCCACGCCGUAAACGGUGGGCGCUAGGUGUGGGUUCCUUCCACGGAAUCCGUGCCGUAGCUAACGCAUUAAGCGCCCCGCCUGGGGAGUACGGCCGCAAGGCUAAAACUCAAAGGAAUUGACGGGGGGGCCCGCACAAGCGGCGGAGCAUGUGGAUUAAUUUCGAUGCAACGCGAAGAACCUUACCUGGGGUUUUGACAUAUACCGGAAAAGCUGCAGAGAUGUGGCCCCCCCUUGUGGUCGGUAUACAGUGGGUGCAUGGACUGUCGGUCAGCUCGUGAUCGUGCAGAUGUUGGGAUUAAGUUCCCGCCAACCG
rnacentral:rRNA from 1 species